UACGUAGGGUGCGAGCGUUGUCCGGAUUUAUUGGGCGUAAAGGGCUCGUAGGCGGCGUGUCGCGUCGGCUGUGAAAUCCCGAGGCUCAACCUCGGGUCUGCAGUCGAUACGGGCGGACUGGAGUUCGGCAGGGGAGACUGGAAUUCCUGGUGUAGCGGUGAAAUGCGCAGAUAUCAGGAGGAACACCGGUGGCGAAGGCGGGUCUCUGGGCCGAUACUGACGCUGAGGAGCGAAAGCGUGGGGAGCGAACAGG
rnacentral:rRNA from 1 species